GUGGAAGGGGGUCCUUUUUUUUUUCAAUCGUGGCAGCCGGGUCGAAGGAGCCAGGGGGCAAGGCGCGCCCCCAGCCGUUCUCCAUCGGAAAUACCGGCGUCGCGUACCUCCUGCUCGCGUUGACGAGCGGAGGAGGACGAGGCCAGGAGGCAGGCGCACUCGUCCAUCGCCGCCGAGGCCGCCCGCAGCCUUCAUCUCCGUCCAUCUCACAAGGCCGGCGCAUGGAGAAGCCAGGAGAGACGUGCACAUCCUCUCCGCAUCCAUCAUCGUCCAAGCCGCCGCCGGCGCCCGAGGCCAAGUUCUCACGAAGAAGCGGUAGUCCGGCCAUUAGGGCCCCAUCGAUCUGCUCGUCGUGGCCGGCUUGGCAGCCAACCGGCCGGAGCAGCGCCGCCUUGCUGCUUGCACCUAGACGAGAUUGUCGUGGAUCAAAUCCAUCUACUCCAUGGAUCAAGAAUUGAAAGUGAUCGGGUGCUCUAGUCUAAGAGGGAGAGGGGGUGAAUUAGCCACUAAUAAAAACUUUGACCUAUGGCUCCAACUAGUUUGCACAAAACUUGAACUAAAGCAUGCUAUCUAGAUGUGCAACUAGGUUGUUCUAGGGUGAAACCCCUAUCCCAAAAGAGUUAUGCACCCUAUAUCCUUUCCUAACAAAAAAUUAUUCUAUAAAAGUAAAUGCACAAAGGUUGCAAGUAUUAAAUGCGGAAGCUUAAAGAGCGGGAUAGGAGAUAGCAAACUCUUGACGCGGGUGUUUAUCCCGUGGUUUCUGUUAGCCACAAAUGCACAUUUAUCCCGUGGUUUCUGUUAGCCACAAAUGCACAUCUACAUCCACGUUGUUAUAGCACUCACUAAGAGUAUUGCUACUCGGCCACCAAGUCUUUUCCGUGAACACAAUCACGAUCACAUUGGCCCCGGGUUACACUAAGGAGCUUCUCCACAAAGGAUGGGGGUCUCCACGUCCUCCACACAAAGAUGUCGUCGCUGCUCCACACCAAGUCGAAGGGUCGAUGACGUUGCCGGCGAGCUUCGCAGCUCCAAGGAGGCUGGCGUAUCAAGCUCUUGUUUGGUUCAAUAGAGAACCACAGCACAAAAGCUUAAGGCCUUGCAAUCUCACUCACUAAGAGCUAUUCUAGCACUCAUACUUUACAAGCUAGUGCUAAAAGCUAAGGAUAUGAUCUUGAUG